rnacentral:tRNA from 1 species
GGCGCCGUGGCGAAGCCUGGUUUCGCGAUACGCUGGUCGAUGCGGAUCCGGCCUCCAAUGCGGCAAGCUGGCAAUGGGUGGCAGGCAGCGGCGCCGACGCUGCGCCGUUUUUUCGGGUCUUCAAUCCCGUGCUGCAGGGCGAGAAAUUCGAUCCGGACGGCGCCU